UACCAAAAGAAGAUUGGGAUACGAUUCAUUAUACUAGAUUUAUAGGACCAUUUGCUACAUAUAAUGAAGCCAGAGAUAUUGAAAUCCAAGCUGUUGAUAUUUCGACUAAUGAUGAAGAUGCAUUGCAAGCACUUGCAACAGUUAAAGUAACUAACAAUAAUAAGCCACUUUCUGUAAAACGUGCGAUCAAUAAACCGCGCCGUCUUUAUUCUUCUGACGAAGAAAAUCAGAAAUCAUAUGUUAAAAAUGAAAAACUUCUAAAAUCUAUAAAAAGUAAUAGUUUUCCUCAUCAAGACGAAGAUGAAGAUAAAGAAUCUGAUGAAGAUUCAGAAAAAGAUGUUCAAAAGAAUUUUCAAAAACCUCCAAUCCAAUAUAUUCCAAAAAAUAAGAAAAAGGAAAUCAUAAGCGAAGUUGCAGCAGGUGCGAUGAUAAAAUUUUGA